CGUUUGCCUCCGUUCUCAUCGCAUUUGCUUUGUGAUUUGACAGCGUGCGGAAGUGAUUUUAAUAUUUAUCUCAGAAUGUCGGACCAACCCCCAAAAAAAUUGAGGAAAGUUGUUUUCAACAUGGACGAUUUUGGUGGACUUUAAUAUUGACGGAGUGAAUGAAUCAUUAAGGGCGUUUCCAAAUAUUUUUAACACAGUAAUCAGUAUGUAUUAAAAAUAAUUUAUUGAAUAAUAUUAAAUUUAUUUUUUUUUUUCUUUCUUUUUUUUCUUCUUUUUCAUGGCUGAUUCAUGCUUUCUUUUCGGGGCUGAUUCCGCUCUGAAAUUCAGGUCUGAAUCAGGGGCGAUUUCGAGACAAUUUUCACGCCGGAAUCCGGAUUCGAAAUCCGGGCGGUUUCUGACCUGAUUCAUGCCUGAAAUCGAAUUCCGGGCCGAGAGGACAUUUUCAAAAAUUUCAGUACAAA